UACGUAGGGUCCGAGCGUUGUCCGGAAUUAUUGGGCGUAAAGAGCUCGUAGGCGGUCUGUUGCGUCGGUUGUGAAAACCUGGGGCUCAACUCCAGGCCUGCAAUCGAUACGGGCAGACUAGAGUUCGGUAGGGGAGACUGGAAUUCCUGGUGUAGCGAUGAAAUGCGCAGAUAUCAGGAGGAACACCGGUGGCGAAGGCGGGUCUCUGGGCCGAAACUGACGCUGAGGAGCGAAAGCGUGGGGAGCGAACAGG
rnacentral:rRNA from 1 species